rnacentral:rRNA from 1 species
AUUGAACGCUGGCGGCAUGCCUUACACAUGCAAGUCGAACGGUAACAGGUUAAGCUGACGAGUGGCGAACGGGUGAGUAAUACAUCGGAACGUGCCCAGUAGUGGGGGAUAGCCCGGCGAAAGCCGGAUUAAUACCGCAUACGACCUAUGGGUGAAAGGGGGGGAUCGCAAGACCUCUCGCUAUUUGAGCGGCCGAUGUCAGAUUAGCUAGUUGGUGGGGUAAACGCUCACCAAGGCGACGAUCUGUAGCUGGUCUGAGAGGACGACCAGCCACACUGGGACUGAGACACGGCCCAGACUCCUACGGGAGGCAGCAGUGGGGAAUUUUGGACAAUGGGCGCAAGCCUGCUCCAGCCAUGCCGCGUGCGGGAAGAAGGCCUUCGGGUUGUAAACCGCUUUUGUCAGGGAAGAAAUCCUUUGGGUUAAUACCUCGUGGGGAUGACGGUACCUGAAGAAUAAGCACCGGCUAACUACGUG